ACUCCCUUCGUUCCUAUUUAUAAGACGUCUUGGCAAGUCAAUUUGGCUUGCCAAAACGUCUUAUAAAUAGGAACGGAGGGAAUAC